AAUCAACGCUGGCGGCGUGCCUCAGACAUGCAAGUCGAACGCGAAAGUCCCCUUCGGGGGAUGAUUAGAGUGGCGCACGGGUGAGUAACACGUAGGUAAUCUACCUUCGAGUGGGGAAUAACUCAGGGAAACUUGAGCUAAUACCGCAUAAUGCAGCGGCACCACAUGGUGACAGUUGUUAAAGCAUUUAUGCGCUUGAAGAGGAGCCUGCGGCAGAUAGCUAGUUGGUAAGGUAAUGGCUUACCAAGGCUACGAUCUGUAACCGGCCUGAGAGGGCGGACGGUCACACUGACACUGAAUAACGGGUCAGACUCCUACGGGAGGCAGCAGUCGGGAAUUUUGGGCAAUGGGCGAAAGCCUGACCCAGC
rnacentral:rRNA from 1 species